CCUACGGGGGGCAGCAGUGGGGAAUAUUGCGCAAUGGGGGAAACCCUGACGCAGCGACGCCGCGUGAGCGAUGAAGGCCUUCGGGUUGUAAAGCUCUGUCUUCCCUGACGAUAAUGACGGUAAGGGAGGAGGAAGCCACGGCUAAGUACGUGCUAGCAGCCGCGGUAAUGCGUAGGUGGCAAGCGUUGUCAGGAAUGAUUGGGCGUAAAGGGUUCGUAGGGGGGUCUUGCAGUGGGUUGUGAAAUCCCUAGGCUCAACCUAGGAACUGCAUUCCAAACUGGGGAGCUAGAGUGCAGGAGAGGAAAGAGGAAUUCCCAGUGUAGCGGUGAAAUGCGUAGAGAUUGGGAGGAACACCAGUGGCGAAGGCGGCUUUCUGGACUGUAACUGACGCUGAGGCACGAAAGCGUGGGGAGUAAACAGGAUUAGAUACCCGGGUAGUC
rnacentral:rRNA from 1 species